AACAGUGUAGCUCAAUCGGAUAGAGCAAGUGCCUUCUAAGCACUAGGUUGAGAGUUCGAACCUCUCCACUGUUGCCA
rnacentral:tRNA from 4 species